rnacentral:sRNA from 1 species
UUUGCAUGUAUAAAUA